rnacentral:rRNA from 1 species
UACGGGGGGGGCAAGCGUUGUUCGGAAUUACUGGGCGUAAAGGGUUCGUAGGUGGCCAACUAAGUCAGACGUGAAAUCCCUCAGCUUAACUGGGGAACUGCGUCUGAUACUGGUUGGCUUGAGUGCAGGAGAGGAACGCGGAAUUCCAGGUGUAGCGGUGAAAUGCGUAGAUAUCUGGAGGAACACCGGUGGCGAAGGCGGCAUCCUGGACCAAUAUUGACGCUGAGGAGCGAAAGCCAGGGGAGCAAACGGG